rnacentral:rRNA from 1 species
CAAUAGCGUAUAUUAAAGUUGUUGCAGUUAAAAAAGCUCGUAGUUGGAUUUCUGGGAGGGUGCCAAUGUCCGUCGUCGUACGUGUUGCAGCGGCGCCCUUCCAUCCUUCUGUUAACGACUUUGGGCAUUCACUUGCCGGAGUCGGGCUCAGAUAUUUUACCUUGAGAAAAUUAGAGUGUUUCAGGCAGGCUAGGCCGGAAUACAUUAGCAUGGAAUAAUGGAAUAGGACUACGGUCUCUUUUGUUGGUUUUGAGGGACUGCAGUAAUGAUUAAUAGGGAUAGUCGGGGGCGUCAGUAUUCAGCUGUCAGAGGUGAAAUUCUUGG